rnacentral:rRNA from 1 species
ACGGUACCCGUACCCCAAACCGACACAGGUGGGCAGGUAUAGAAUACCAAGGCGAUCGGGAGAACUGUGGUUAAGGAACUCGGCAAAAUGCCUCCGUAACUUCGGGAGAAGGAGGACCCCAUCAGGGUGAAGGACCUCGCGUCCGGAGCUCGAAGGGGUGGCACAGACCAGGGGAAAGCGACUGUUUACUAAAAACACAGCAGCGUGCGAAGUCGUAAGACGAUGUAUACGCUGUGACGCCUGCCCAAUGCCGGAAGGUUAAAGGGAAAGGUUAGCCCGCAAGGGCGAAGCUUUGAACUGAAGCCCCGGUGAAUGGCGGCCGUAACUAUAACGGUCCUAAGGUAGCGAAAUUCCUUGUCGGGUAAGUUCCGACCUGCACGAAUGGCGUAACGACUUUCCUACUGUCUCAACCACAGACCCGGCGAAAUUGAAGUACGAGUAAAGAUGCUCGUUAGCUGCAGAAGGACGGUAAGACCCCGUGGACCUUUACUAUAGCUUGAUGUUGAGUUUUGUUAUGUGUUGUGUAGGAUAGGUGGGAGACUUGGAAGCAUUGGCGCCAGCCAGUGUGGAGUCAACCUUGAAAUACCACCCUGCUCAUGACGGAGCUCUAACCCACGUCCCUGAUCGGGAUGGGGAACAGCGUCUGGUGGGUAGUUUGACUGGGGCGGUCGCCUCCUAAAGAGUAACGGAGGCGCCCAAAGGUUCCCUCAGACUGGUUGGCGAUCAGCCGUCGAGUGCAAUGGCACAAGGGAGCUUGACUGCGAGACCUACAAGUCAAGCAGGUGCGAAAGCAGGGCAUAGUGAUCCGGCGGUUGCGUGUGGAAGCGCCGUCGCUCAACGGAUAAAAGGUACCCCGGGGAUAACAGGCUCAUCUUCCCCAAGAGUCCAUAUCGACGGGAAGGUUUGGCACCUCGAUGUCGGCUCAUCGCAUCCUGGGGCUGAAGCAGGUCCCAAGGGUUGGGCUGUUCGCCCAUUAAAGCGGUACGCGAGCUGGGUUUAGAACGUCGUGAGACAGUUCGGUCCCUAUCCUCUGCAGCCGGAAGGAACUUGAGAAAAUCUGUCCCUAGUACGAGAGGACCGGGAUGGACGCAGCUCUCGUGUGCCAGUUGUCCUGCCAAGGGCACUGCUGGUUAGCGACCUGCGGAAGGGAUAAGCGCUGAAAGCAUCUAAGUGCGAAGCCCAUUUCUAGAUGAGGUUCCUCACUGGGUUAACCAGGUAGGGCCCGUGAUAGGCCAACACGUUGAUAGGCCGGAAGUGUAAGCGUGGUAACACGUUCAGCUGACCGGUACUAAUCGGCCGAGGGCUUGGAUUG